rnacentral:rRNA from 1 species
UACGGGGGGGAGCAAGCGUUGUUCGGAUUUAUUGGGCGUAAAGAGCUCGUAGGCGGCUCGGUAAGUCGGGUGUGAAACCUCCAGGCUCAACCUGGAGACGCCACCUGAUACUGCUGUGGCUAGAGUCCGGUAGGGGAGCGUGGAAUUCCUGGUGUAGCGGUGAAAUGCGCAGAUAUCAGGAGGAACACCAGCGGCGAAGGCGGCGCUCUGGGCCGGAACUGACGCUGAGGAGCGAAAGCGUGGUAGCAAACAGG